rnacentral:rRNA from 1 species
UGCCAGCAGCCGCGGUAAUACGUACUGGGCGAACGUUAUUCGGAAUCACUGGGCUUAAAGCGUGCGUAGGCGGCUUGGUAGGUGAGAUGUGAAAGCCCACGGCUCAACCGUGGAAUAGCGUCUCAAACCCCCAAGCUCGAGGAAGAUAGGGGUGAUGGGAACUUAUGGUGGAGCGGUGAAAUGCGUUGAUAUCAUAGGGAACACCGGUGGCGAAGGCGCAACACUGGGUCUUUUCUGACGCUGAGGCACGAAAGCUAGGGUAGCGAACGGGAUUAGAUA